UCUAAUCCCUGAAAAUUAAGCCACAGAGUGGGUUUCUGCCAUGGUAGCUACUGUAAAAAAGAAGAAAAGAUGACUGUCAGGCUAUGCCUGGAAACAGUGCAUUUGAACAGGUUCAGGUGCCUCCGCGUACGUCAUCUCCACUGGAAGUGAGGUCUUCCAGAGGUCAAUGGAGAAGCUUUUUGCUGGGCAGCCAUGUGAGAUAGUGGUGAACGACAUCCUGGUGUAAGAAUUGAGGUGACGGGGCCCCUCCACCAGCUCUUCCAUCAGGAGACUGAAUGGUGCUGGCAGGAGCAGCAUGACGCUGCCUUCACCAAAAUCAUAGAGUUGGUAUCUAGCCCACCAGUGCUCCAAGUACUAUGAUUUGGGCAAACCAGUGGUGCUGUCUGCAGAUGCAACCCAACAUGGUCUCGGGGCAGUAUGUUUACAACUAGGUAGGCCAGUGGCCUUUGAAUCUAGAGCACUGACAGAGACAGUGACACAUUACGCUCAGAUCAAGGAGCAGAUGUUGGCUCUUAUUUUUUGCAUGUAAAAAGUUUCAUGAUUUAAUUUACGGACAUGCGGUGCUGGUGGAUAUGGGGUUUACAAAAUAGGGAAGUAGCUGUUUGUAGCUGACCGGAGGACACAGAAGAGUCCUUUGAUGUCAUGACUGUACAGGUUCUGUCCUGUCCUUGCACUGAAGAGUUGAGGGCUGCAGUGGCAACAGACAUCACAUGCCAGCACCUCUGAGAAGUCAUUCUAAAUGGCUGGCUAAAAUCAUCAAAGGAGCUUCCCCAAGACGUUCGCCCCUACUAUGCCAUGAAAGAAGAGUUUACAGUACAGGAUUGGCUCAUACUGGGGGGGUCAAAGGCUGCUUAUCCCAUUGUCUUUACAACAAUUCUAUACAGGCCAACUGCAUCAAGGACACCCAGGGGCUGAGGCAACAAAUCGUAGAGCAAGGGAAAUGUGUGCUGACAUAGAGAGGGAGGUGUUCUGCUGUGCUCCUUUUAAUGCUCUUAACCCCCACCAGGUUAACCUGUUAGGGCUAGGGGGCAGUAUUGACACGGCUGGAUAAAAAAACAUACCCGAUUUAAUCUGGUUACCACUCCUACCCAGUAACUAGAAUAUGCAUAUACUUAUUACAUAUGGAUAGAAAACACCCAAAAUUUUCCAAAACUGUUUGAAUGGUGUCUGUGAGUAUAACAGAACUCAUUUGGCAGGCAAAACCCUGAGACAUUUUCUGACAGGAAGUGGAUACCUGAUGUGUUGUAUUGCCUUUAAACCUAUCCCACUGAAAAACACAGGGGCUGAGGAAUAUUUUGGCACUUCCUAUUGCUUCCACUAGAUGUCACCAGCCUUUACAAAGUGUUUUGAGUCUUCUGGAGGAGAUCUGACCGAACAAGAGCCAUGGAACGAUGAUGUCCCAUUAGACACCUGGCGCGCGAGUUCAUGUUGGGUACCCUCGUUCCAAUACGUUAUAAAAGAGUAUGCAUUCGUCCACCUUGAAU
rnacentral:lncRNA from 1 species